rnacentral:lncRNA from 1 species
GCUGGCAGCCAGACAAUAACACCGAUGGGAUCGUCUUCAUCAGAACAUGUCAGCCCCUCCGUGAAAUUUAAGUAACUGCAACUUGGAGGCAGAAAAUGAUAAAGGAAAAAAAAAAAAAAAAAAGAAUACAAAAGUGCUCGGAAGAAGAAGCAGAGAGAUCAGAGGAGAGCUGCUGCAGGAGCCGCCCGCGCUGGGACAGCGGGUGCGGGCAGGAGGGAUGGUGCUACUUGCAGAGGGACCUGCAGGGACACCGUGGGACUGCCCGCAGCACAGCUCCUCUGGCACUGCCUGGGCAGGGAACCCCGCAGUCCAGCACAAGCCAGCUCCCACCAGCACAUCAGCCUCUUGCAGUGUCUGGAUCCGAGCUGUUGCUAAUGAGGAUGGUGCUCAUCAUGUGAUCGUGCCUUUGGGCAAGGGUGGUGGUGCUGCUAAUUGGCUUCUCUGGCUGCGGUUUCCUUAGGAAACAAGGUUAAAGCAACUCACAGCUCAAAAAU